rnacentral:lncRNA from 1 species
GGGUCAACUCUUCUUAUAUUCAAGCCACCCUACUAAUUGAAAUCCAAGAUAUAACUCGUCAAUUCUAUUAUAGAUAUCAUAUGCCACUUAUGCAUAAAUUUCAUCUUAAUAUCUAUUGAUUCAAAAUCUAAAUAUUAAAUCUUCUCUUUUAUAUCUAUCAUGUUUCUCAUGAUCAUAACCUAAGUUCAGAUAUCACUAAAAUUACAAUUCUGAAUAAUUAUAAUCUUAAACUCAAAUACCAUUUAAAUCAUAUUUUCUAGUG